ACCUUGACCCAAGAGUAUGUCAGAUCCGCCACAAAUACAGAAAAUUCAUUGUUCACACGGACAGAGUCUCCUCUGUAUUUGUACGACGUCGCAUAAGUACAAGAUACAACCACAAUAGUAUAAACAUCCACAUACAUUUACCACAUCACAUUUACCAUACAUCCCAUCACAGAUAAUCAUAAAUCCACAUCUAUUAGUUUAAAACGUUUUUUACCCGGAAACUCAUUUUGAAAUACUAAGAAUCAUGAAGACCGGGAAAAACUCUUUUAAAAAUCGUUUCCCACACGGAAACCUUUUCCUUUAAAAACACGCUACCACGAGGGGUAGAAAAUCGUUUUCAUUUCAUCAGAAAAUCAUAAGUACUUUAUUACAUUCACAAAAUCACAUUUAUCCAAAUAACAUAAAACCAACUGAACCAUGAUAAGUAAGUCAAU
rnacentral:lncRNA from 1 species